UACGAAGGGGGCUAGCGUUGCUCGGAAUCACUGGGCGUAAAGGGCGCGUAGGCGGCCGAUCAAGUCAGAGGUGAAAGCCCAAGGCUCAACCUUGGAAUUGCCUUUGAUACUGUUUGGCUCGAGACCGGAAGAGGUAAGUGGAACUGCGAGUGUAGAGGUGAAAUUCGUAGAUAUUCGCAAGAACACCAGUGGCGAAGGCGGCUUACUGGUCCGGUUCUGACGCUGAGGCGCGAAAGCGUGGGGAGCGAACAGG
rnacentral:rRNA from 1 species